rnacentral:tRNA from 1 species
GGGGAUUUAGCUCAGUGGUAGAGCGCUUGCCUAGGAAGCGGGGGAAAAAAAAAGAGCACUGACAGCUCUUCCAGAGGUCCUGAGUUCAAAUCCCAGCAACCACA